GCCCGCCUAGCUCAAUCGGAUAGAGCGUCAGACUUUUACCCAGGCGGUUGGAUCUGAAGGCUGCGAGUUCGACCCUCGCGGUGGGCU